CCAAUCGCGUAUAUUAAAGUUGUUGCAGUUAAAAAGCUCGUAGUUGAAUUUCGGAAUCAAUAUGUUGGUCGUGCCAUUGGUACGUACUGGCAUUAUUGGUUUCUACCUUCUGAAGAACCUCGAUGUCAUUAAUUUGGUGUCUUGGGGAAUCAGGACUGUUACUUUGAAAAAAUUAGAGUGUUUAAAGCAGGCUCGCGCUUGAAUACAUUAGCAUGGAAUAAUGAAAUAGGACGUUUGAUUCUAUUUUGUUGGUUUCUAGGAUCGACGUAAUGAUUAAUAGGGAUAGUUGGGGGCAUUAGUAUUCAAUUGUCAGAGGUGAAAUUCUUGGAUUUAUUGAAGACUAACUACUGCGAAAGCAUUUGCCAAGGAUGUUUUCAUUAAUCAAGAACGAAAGUUAGGGGAUCGAAGACGAUCAGAUACCGUCGUAGUCUUAACCAUAAACUAUGCCGACUAGGGAUCGGAUGAUGUUAAUUUUUUAAUGACUCAUUCGGCGCCUUACG
rnacentral:rRNA from 1 species